rnacentral:rRNA from 1 species
GGCUCAGGACGAACGCUGGCGGCGUGCCUAAUACAUGCAAGUCGAACGAACUCUGGUAUUGAUUGGUGCUUGCAUCAUGAUUUACAUUUGAGUGAGUGGCGAACUGGUGAGUAACACGUGGGAAACCUGCCCAGAAGCGGGGGAUAACACCUGGAAACAGAUGCUAAUACCGCAUAACAACUUGGACCGCAUGGUCCGAGUUUGAAAGAUGGCUUCGGCUAUCACUUUUGGAUGGUCCCGCGGCGUAUUAGCUAGAUGGUGGGGUAACGGCUCACCAUGGCAAUGAUACGUAGCCGACCUGAGAGGGUAAUCGGCCACAUUGGGACUGAGACACGGCCCAAACUCCUACGGGAGGCAGCAGUAGGGAAUCUUCCACAAUGGACGAAAGUCUGAUGGAGCAACGCCGCGUGAGUGAAGAAGGGUUUCGGCUCGUAAAACUCUGUUGUUAAAGAAGAACAUAUCUGAGAGUAACUGUUCAGGUAUUGACGGUAUUUAACCAGAAAGCCACGGCUAACUACGUGCCAGCAGCCGCGGUAAUACGUAGGUGGCAAGCGUUGUCCGGAUUUAUUGGGCGUAAAGCGAGCGCAGGCGGUUUUUUAAGUCUGAUGUGAAAGCCUUCGGCUCAACCGAAGAAGUGCAUCGGAAACUGGGAAACUUGAGUGCAGAAGAGGACAGUGGAACUCCAUGUGUAGCGGUGAAAUGCGUAGAUAUAUGGAAGAACACCAGUGGCGAAGGCGGCUGUCUGGUCUGUAACUGACGCUGAGGCUCGAAAGUAUGGGUAGCAAACAGGAUUA